UACGUAGGUGGCAAGCGUUGUCCGGAUUUACUGGGCGUAAAGAGCGCGCAGGCGGUCGUCCAAGUCGCGUGUGAAAGCCCCCGGCUCAACUGGGGAGGGUCACGCGAUACUGAUCGACUCGAAGGCAGGAGAGGGAAGUGGAAUUCCGAGUGUAGAGGUGAAAUUCGUAGAUAUUCGGAAGAACACCAGUGGCGAAGGCGGCUCACUGGCCCGUUACCGACGCUCAGGCGCGACAGCGUGGGGAGCAAACAGG
rnacentral:rRNA from 1 species